UAANUAGUACAAGUGACUUCCAAUCACUUAGUUCUGGAGCUACCCAGAAGAGA
rnacentral:tRNA from 1 species